rnacentral:rRNA from 1 species
CACGUAGGGGGCAAGCGUUGUCCGGAUUUAUUGGGCGUAAAGAGCUCGUAGGCGGCUUAGUAAGUCGGGUGUGAAACCUCCAGGCUCAACCUGGAGACGCCACCCGAUACUGCUGUGGCUAGAGUCCGGUAGGGGAGCGUGGAAUUCCUGGUGUAGCGGUGAAAUGCGCAGAUAUCAGGAGGAACACCAGCGGCGAAGGCGGCGCUCUGGGGCCGGUACUGACGCUGAGGAGCGAAAAGCGUGGGGAGCAAACAGG